AACGCUAGCGGCGCGCUUAACACAUGCAAGUCGAGCGAGAACCAGGGCUUCGGCCCUGGGGACAGCGGCGAACGGGUGAGUAACACGUGGGUAAUCUGCCCUCGGUUCUGGGAUAGCCCGGGGAAACCCGGAUUAAUACCGGAUAGCCUCUCGAGCCCUCGGGCUCGUGAGAAAAGGUAGCUUCGGCCUCCGACCGAGGGGGAGCCUGCGGCGGAUUAGCUUGUUGGCGGGGUAACGGCCCACCAAGGCGACGAUCCGUAGCUGGUCUGAGAGGACGAUCAGCCACACUGGGACUGAGACACGGCCCAGACUCCUACGGGAGGCAGCAGUGGGGAAUCUUGCGCAAUGGGCGAAAGCCUGACGCAGCGACGCCGCGUGAGGGAAGAAGGCCUUCGGGUUGUAAACCUCUUUCAGGAGGGACGAAGCCACUCGGGUUAAUAGCCCAGAGGGUGACGGUACCUCCAGAAGAAGCCCCGGCUAACUACGUGCCAGCAGCCGCAGUAAUAC
rnacentral:rRNA from 1 species